rnacentral:tRNA from 1 species
GCCUUCGUUCUGUAAUUAGAAGCAUAUCCGGCUAACAAUCGGGAGGUCCGGAGUUCGAAUCCCGGCAAAGGCA